rnacentral:rRNA from 1 species
GUCCACGCCGUAAACGAUGAUAACUAGCUGUAUGCGAUAGACAGUAUGCGGCUAAGCGAAAGCGAUAAGUUAUCCACCUGGGGAGUACGACGGCAACGUUGAAACUCAAAGGAAUUGACGGGGGCCCGCACAAGCGGAGGAACAUGUGGUUUAAUUCGAUGAUACGCGAGGAACCUUACCUGGACUUGAACGGAUAGUGACGUGGGGAGAGAUUUCCAUUUUAGCAAUAACACUUACCGAGGUGCUGCAUGGCUGUCGU